rnacentral:rRNA from 1 species
GACGAACGCUGGCGGCGUGCUUAACACAUGCAAGUCGAACGGUGAAAGCGGAGCUUGCUCCGCUGGAUCAGUGGCGAACGGGUGAGUAACACGUGGGCAACCUGCCCCUCACUUCGGGAUAACUCCGGGAAACCGGGGCUAAUACCGGAUAUGACCUCCUUGGGCAUCCUUGGAGGUGGAAAGUUUUUCGGUGAGGGAUGGGCCCGCGGCCUAUCAGCUUGUUGGUGAGGUAGUGGCUCACCAAGGCGACGACGGGUAGCCGGCCUGAGAGGGCGACCGGCCACACUGGGACUGAGACACGGCCCAGACUCCUACGGGAGGCAGCAGUGGGGAAUAUUGCGCAAUGGGCGAAAGUCUGACGCAGCAACGCCGCGUGCGGGAUGACGGCCUUCGGGUUGUAAACCGCUUUCAGCAGGGAAGAAGCCGCAAGGUGACGGUACCUGCAGAAGAAGCACCGGCUAACUACGUGCCAGCCGCCGCGGUAA